UGAUUGAAUAUAGGGUCUAACUACUAGUUCAACAAAAAAAACAAAUUGUUCCCAAAGUUUUCAUAAUAGUCCCAAGUUAGAUACAAUAGUAAAAGUUCACUAUCCAAACCAGAACUCAACUAGACGAUGUACACAUCAGGUUACUAAAAAAUAUCAAAAGAAAUACGACUGAAUCACAAAAUAACUGAUGAUAUGCUUUAAACUUUUGCUUUUCAUUUCAUUCUUCAAGUCAAGCCUCACAUGAGGUAGAAUUCAGAGGUCAUGUACCUGGGAAUAAGAGGAAAGCAAGAAGAAGUAGGAAUCAAUAGGCAGCAGCAACAGAACAGAGUCCCAGAUUCAGCAGUAGAACAAUGAGAUCAGCUCAAGAACAAUCAAUGAAACAGUGGAGGAAUAACAAAUCCAAACCCAGAUUCAAACCAAAAUUCAAGCCAUUUCUCAAACCAGAAGUGUAACUAGGGAAAUUUUCAAGUGUUUUAGCUAACAAAGAGAGAUCAAAAAUCCAAACAAGCAGAAUCUUGGUAGUCUUCAACCAUGGAAUGCAAGAAUUCAAAUUUUUUUUAAAAGAACUCAGUCGUUUCAGUUUUUUUUCAGGGAUUUUUUUGUCUCUAGUCUCCGACUUGAACCUCAAGUAUGGAUGCCUUUAUAGGCAAGGUUUUAGGGCUGCAGAAACAAGCUCAUUUUUGAACUUAAGACCUUUUGCAAUUUUGGUUUUUGUUCAAGUACCCUCACUUAAAAAAAUUAAAUUUUCAGUUAAGUCCCAAUGACACCUUCCUAGCAGCUUCCUAAUUCAGGUGUGCAAGAUUCUCUAAGGUAAACUACCCAAAAUACCUUUUAAACCCCUGUUAUUUACUUCAGUAAACUAAAACUUCUGACAAAUGGCCCAAAGGUCUUGGGCUACUGCACUAGCAGGUUCUACGGCCUUUGGGCUCCUGAAUCCUUGAAGCCCAAAUUGUGAUCCAAAAGACCAUAGGCCGCGAAUAGGUAAGCCCAUAAGUUUUGCCAUUCCGGCAUCGAAAGAGAAAAACUAACGGAGCAAAACAAAAAAAAAUACGAAUAAGGCAACAGGCAAACACGAAAUCAGAAAUCAGAAAUACUGAAGAAAAGAAUAUUACACUAAUAUGCUGGUAAUUACUAACACGACCCAAUUCUAAACAUGCAACAGAGAUCAAUUCGAAAUAACAAAAGAAGAAAGAAAUAAGAAGAAACAAUAAUACGCGAUUUGAAAUGCAUACAAAAAAUGACAGAAAAGAUAGGAGAUAAAAGAGGAAGAAGACAGAAGAAGAUGAACAUGAGAAAAACAACACACAAAAAAUGACGAGAAGCAAAGAAAUACCCAGAAUAGUAGAAAAAGGAAAAUGGCUUGAAUGGACUUCUGGUGCUUUCCGAUUUGAAGCAAAAAAAAAGUGUCAAUUGGUUGAUUCUUGCGAGAACAAACAUCUAGCACUCAUUUUAGCCAAAAUCAUCGUCGAAAUAACGGAACCAGACCCUUUAAAUGAGACAUCAAAGGCGGGAACAAGUCUAGGGCUCCGUUUUACAAUCUGAAAUUAAGGAGAAGUGGAAAGGAUUUAGGGAAAAUUGGUUGUGGUUUAAUGUUUAAGGGACUAUGGGGAUUAUGGGGUUGAAGUUUGGUGGUGAUUGGAAGCUGUCUCACCGGUAAAAAUGGCGAAGAGGAUGUGAGGGCGGCGCUGGUUUGAUGAGGGAGAUGGUGUUUGAGGGAGAUG
rnacentral:lncRNA from 1 species